rnacentral:rRNA from 1 species
AGUCGUUCUGCCCAUUGUUUUUGAAAGGCUGCGGUAUAUUAACUGUACAAAGGUAGCAAAAUAAAUAGUUUUUUAAUUGAAAACUUGAAUGAAAGAAUUGAUAAAAUAUAAAUUGUCUCAAUUAAUAAAUUUAAAUUAAAAGUUAAAAUGCUUUUAUGUUUUUAUUAGACGAUAAGACCCUAAGAAUUUUAUAUUUUUAUUUGUAAAUAAAUAAUUAAUUAAAUAAAAAUAUUUUAUUGGGAGGAUAAUUAAAAAAAACUUUAAUUUUAAUUAACAAUUUUAGAUGAAUUUAAUGAUUAUUAUUAUAAUUAUAAGAAUAAAUUACCUUAGGGAUAACAGCGUAAUAAUUUUGGAGAGUUCAUAUUGAUAAAAUUGAUUGCGACCUCGAUGUUGAAUUAAAAUAAAAAUUAAAUGGAGAUAUUUAAAUUUUUAGUCUGUUCGACUAUUAAAAUUUUAC